CAGGAAUGAAGGACUCCUGGCACCUCUGCCUCAGAGUAGAUGGCAGAGGCUUGGACAGAAGAUGGACAGAAGGUUCACAGGAAAUGAGCUCUGCAGAGCUAGAAACCUUUGCCUGGCAGGAGGAAAGAACAGGGGCUAAAGGAAGGGCCCGUUGGAGCCCCUGACUCAGUGGGCCAGCUUGGGGUCCCCAAGCAUGAGGAAUUGAGAGGCUCCAGAAACAUGCACCAUCUUCAUUUCUGGAUAGAGUCCCAGGCCUGGCACCCCCGGUCCCAAGUUUUCAUCUGACGGGAAAUGUGAACAUUCACACACGUAAACAGAAGAUGACACACAGAGACGCAGGGAGAAGAGGGCUUUCCGCAGGCCGAGGACAGGGGCCUGGAGCAGACUCUCCCUCCCAACCGCAGAAGGGACCGUCGCGCUGACGCCUCGACCUUGGACUUCCAGCCUCCAGA